AAAUAGAACUUUGCAGAGAGAGUUAACAGGGCGUGAAACCGUUAAUUGGCAAACGAAUCGGAGCCACGAAGUCGUUUCGCAGUUGAGUCGGGCGUCGCUUCAGCGUGCCUCGAAAGGGGUGCGUGUAUUGCGGCGCUGGCCAGCUUUGUAAGCGUACACUGCAACUAGUUAGACGACUGGCCAUGGGCACAGCGGUGAGUUAGUAGUGGUGCGCUGGGGCUUGCUCCAGUGUGUUGCUUGGCUCGCGUAAGUGAACUAUGGCCAGAUACUGACUAGCGAAAUGAAAAUCGACGAAAGUCGUAAGAGACAAAGCCCGCUGCGGCGAUGAGUGUCUACGCCACCGACUGCCGGCUUUAAGCUCGGCGCUCUUCAAUUUGGACUUGCUUGCUACCAGUGGGGCAACUCCUGGUGCUUGUAUAGCUUCCAUCUAAUGGGGCGUUGACUUGAGUCGGUACGCUCGAGGGCGCAACGAUAGGGCGCUCAUUCCAGUGGUGUGGCAAUUGUAUUGGCAGUGAGUAGGUCGGCUUUCCGAACGACCCGUCUUGAAACACGGAAGGAGUCUAAUUGGGCAUCGAGUCGAUCGGUCUUGACUAGGCCAGAUGGUGGGAUUCCUCACGAGAAGGCGCAGAGAAAUCGUGUGAUCGUUGGCCAAAACAGGCUGGCCGCGCAACAUGUGCGUGCUCGACGCUGUGCGCAAGACAGCAGGGCGCAGCAAAGAGAUGCCCGAUUGGGACCCGAAAGAUGGUGAGCUUGGGCAAAUUGAAGCCAGAGGAAACUCUGGUGGAGGAUUUAGUUCUGACGUGCAAAUCGAUCGUCAGCUGAGUAUAGGGGCGAAAGACUAAUCGAACCAUC
rnacentral:rRNA from 1 species